AUGCGCGCCGAUCAGAUAGUACCGGCGGUCGUCGCCGCCGUGGCCGUGGUGUGCCUGCUCAUCGCCGGCCGCGCGGACGGCCAGGACGAGUACGUCCCUGCUGGCGCGGCGAGCCAGGAGGUGGAGACGCUGGCCACGAACCAGAACCCCAGACAGAUCCUCCCGCAGCCGGAGUUGAUGCCAGUGCCCAACAAUCUGCUCCCUAGGCCGGGGGCCGCCCUAUCCGGGCAGCAGCCGACGACCGAGCAGGAGCCAGAGACGGAGGCGGAGCCGCAGCCGGAGCAGACAAUCACGAGGGAACCGGAGCCGGUCACGCCCACGCAGGACCAGGGCGAUUUCUACCGCACCGGCGCGACGCCGACCACGCCAGAGCCGCCGGCGACGCCAACCUCGCCGGAGACGUGGGAGACGCCGCGGGCGACGCCGUCUGUGCCCGUGCAGCAGGGUUAUCCUUAG
rnacentral:rRNA from 1 species